UUCUUUGGAGAGUUUGAUCCUGGCUCAGGACGAACGCUGGCGGCGUGCCUAAUACAUGCAAGUCGAGCGGACUGGAUUGGAGCUUGCUCUGAUUCGGUCAGCGGCGGACGGGUGAGUAACACGUGGGCAACCUGCCCGCAAGACCGGGAUAACUCCGGGAAACCGGAGCUAAUACCGGAUAACACCGAAGACCGCAUGGUCUUUGGUUGAAAGGCGGCGCAAGCUGUCACUUGCGGAUGGGCCCGCGGCGCAUUAGCUAGUUGGUGAGGUAACGGCUCACCAAGGCGACGAUGCGUAGCCGGCCUGAGAGGGUGACCGGCCACACUGGGACUGAGACACGGCCCAGACUCCUACGGGAGGCAGCAGUAGGGAAUCUUCCGCAAUGGGCGAAAGCCUGACGGAGCGACGCCGCGUGAGCGAAGAAGGCCUUCGGGUCGUAAAGCUCUGUUGUGAGGGACGAAGGAGCGCCGUUCGAAGAGGGCGGCGCGGUGACGGUACCUCACGAGGAAGCCCCGGCUAACUACGUGCCAGCAGCCGCGGUAAUACGUAGGGGGCGAGCGUUGUCCGGAAUUAUUGGGCGUAAAGCGCGCGCAGGCGGUUCCUUAAGUAUGAUGUGAAAGCCCACGGCUCAACCGUGGAGGGGCCUUGGAAACUGGKGGAC
rnacentral:rRNA from 1 species